rnacentral:rRNA from 1 species
AGAGUUUGAUCCUGGCUCAGAUUGAACGCUGGCGGAAUGCUUUACACAUGCAAGUCGAACGGCAGCAUAGAGAGCUUGCUCUCUGAUGGCGAGUGGCGAACGGGUGAGUAAUAUAUCGGAACGUGCCUAGUAAUGGGGAAUAACUAGCUGAAAGGUUAGCUAAUGCCGCAUACGACCUACGGGUGAAAGCAGGGGAUCUUCGGACCUUGCGUUAUUAGAGCGGCCGAUAUCUGAUUAGCUUGUUGGUGGGGUAAUGGCCUACCAAGGCAACGAUCAGUAGCUGGUCUGAGAGGACGAUCAGCCACACUGGAACUGAGACACGGUCCAGACUCCUACGGGAGGCAGCGGUGGGGAAUUUUGGACAAUGGGGGCAACCCUGAUCCAGCCAUUCCGCGUGAGUGAAGAAGGCCUUCGGGUUGUAAAGCUCUUUCGCAAGAGAAGAAAACUUGCUAUCUAAUAAAUAGUAAGCAUGACGGUAUCUUGACAAGAAGCACCGGCUAACUACGUGCCAGCAGCCGCGGUAUAAGGGCGA